CUGGAGUUGGGAUAGGGGGAGGGGGGAGAGGGGGAGAGGAGGUCCCUCGUGCCCAGAGGGCUUAGGUAUGGGCUCCAGGCGGUUGGUGCAGGAACUGCCACAGCCCUCUUUGGGCACAGGGUUCAGACAGUACGCCGGAGCGAAGGGGCGCCACUACAACCUCUUGAGGUCCUUAUCCAGGACCCAUGCGGCCCGGAGUGCAAAGCCUCCUGGCGAAGAACAGCAAGAGCCCGCGGGAGGGACAGCGCGGAUGGCCCGAGCCCUGGACCUGGGGAGCUGUGGCCUCAAGUGGACCGCGCCCCCUGCCGGCUUGGCGCCUGACCGGGCCGCGACCCCAGACUCCCGCGGAGGGGCCGGGGCAGGGACGGAGCAGAGCCGAGAGGAGCAGGACUCACUAGUCCCCCAGAGGACCAAGACCCCGGGGUUUCGUCAGGUAGAAAAUUCAAGCUCAGAGAAGGGAGGUAUCUGCAGAGAGGGGAAGUCACCCUGCAGGUAGGAAGCAGCAGAGUCCCUACUCGGCCCGACACGCUAGCACGGCCGACUGGGGCGCGGCGUGGAUUCCUCUAGGCUGGGGUCACCAACUUCUCAACGGGCAAAGGAGAGUCCUAGCCCCCGCCCAAAUAAUUUGUGCCUGUUCAUGAUGAAUCACGCUAAACACGUUUGUCACCCGUUUGUGCUCUUCCAUCACAGCUUCUUCUCUUUCUUACUUCUCUCCUGGGGGCCAAACUGGGAAGGAAAGGCUAAGCCACGGGGCUUCCUGCUUCUUGCUUGUGGGUUUCUGGGGUCCUACUAACCACUCCUCUAAUCGAAUGUCCUGAAGCCCAGCGACUCGACGGAGAGGCCAAAGGUGCGAGACCACUAGCCAAACAGGCUUCUAGUCCUCACCUCCCGGCAAUUCGCUGUGUGAAGGUGGGCGAGUCAUGUCCCAUCUCUCGAGUCCCCAUCUUAGAGCCGGUCCCCAGCAGACCUUUAAGCUUCCUUCCUACUCUGCCAUAUGGCUCUGAGCUCCGGUGCAAAGGCGGCUGGGCAGUGGGUCGCGCGGACCUUGCCCAGAGUGGUCUGUCUGGGCCGCGCACUGCUGGCUUAGCUGCCUUUUCACUCUCGGGACUCAACAGUGGACAUUGCACCUGGGGAAGAAAUGGCCGCGCGGAAGUUAUUUAAGGACUCUUCCUGGAAGGAGUCACCUGAGCGGACCUGAAUUCCAUCUGAGGACGGAGGACAGAUUCCGGGCCCUGACCCUGGCCCUGGUAAGGGGUUGGGACGCGGAGGGUUAGAGGAGUGCAGCGCGGCGCACUGGUCUGGAUCCGGCCGCCCGGCGGGGCGCAGGGCAGUCAUUGCAGUGGCCUGGCCGGGCGACUAGUCCGUCUGCACCGCAGACAGCAGCUAUUACUGAACGCCUGCUCGGUCGGUGACCAGGAGCCUCCCCAGCCUAACUAUUGUUCUUUUCCCUUGUCUCCCAUUUCCUUUUCCUUUCACUUUAUCCUCUGCGAGUCGAGCUCUUCGCGCAGAUCCAGGACUGGCUGUCAGUCGCCCUGAGGAUGCGACCUACUUGUCGCCAGCUUCCACUUGGUUCCGCGCCAGGACAGGUUUUACUUUCAUUUCUCCCGCGCGCUCCUCCGACUGCUGGGGAGGUCAAGGACAGCUAGGCGUCGGCCCACGGCCAGGGAAGGUCUCGUGGUCUGGAUUCGUUCCUUCCAGUCUCCACCAGUCCUGGGGGGUGGGGCGCGGCGGGGGUGUUCGUUCUCCAGAGAACUCUGCGACUGUACCUCGCUGCCACCUCGCUGCCUCCCCGCUGCCCUUUACAAAAGCUCGUGAUUCCGUGGGGAAACUUGAGCUGUGGCUCUGCCAGGAGGAUCGCGAAGCAAGUGCCCUUGGUUCAAACUCCUCCUUGAGCUGCAGGCGGCUUCAAAAAGGAAAGCAAGCCCAGGAGUGUAGGGAGACUCAGAGGCUAGGCUCUGCCAGCCUCGGGUGCCUAUGCCAGCAACCUCUUGGCUGUGACAAGAAUUCCCACCUGAGAGUCUUGGCAUGCACCUUAUCAGCCUGGUGCACUUUGCCGCUCUGGCACUUAGAGAUCUGUCACUUGAGAACCAAGUCAAUUCUUUAAGUAAAAUCUUGGAUUGGCAGCUCAAAGUAUUUUGCUAGAAAGCCCCUAUCUUGGAGUGUGUGAGUGUGUGCGCGAGCGCGCACCCCGCUUGCAUGGGUGAGUAGCAGGGGCUAGAGUGUUCCCCAAAGCGUCGUGGGUUUAAGUCGAAAAAAGAUAAGGAAUUUGUUAAAUCUGGGCAUCUAUGUUUUUUUCUCGUGAAAUCUCAAGUUUGUUUAAUUAAUCAUCGUUAACGACAAAAAAAAAAUCACUAGAAUGCAUUUCUGGUUCAAUGGUUCUAUGGAGAAGGAAAUGCUGCAGUGGGAGUUCUGAUCCUGGUGAUUUAUUAACAUAAGUUGCAUCCAUUCACGUGGCAGUGAUUGUAGAUUCACGUUGAGCAAGGACAGUACAAGGAAGGAAGGAAGUGAAGGAAGAAACAUCUUUAAAGUUUCUGGCAAGAAAAGAGAAAAGAAAAAAGAAAAAAAAAUCCUUAUUAAUGAAGAUCUACUUUUUUUGUGUGCUCCAGAAUUUUAAAAAGAUGUGGUUUUAUCAUGUU
rnacentral:lncRNA from 1 species